GCACCACAAGAGCGUGGAGUAUGUGGCUUAAUUUGACUCAACGCGGAAAAGCUUAUCUGGUCCGGACACAGUGAGGAUUGACAGACAGUUAGACAGAAGUGAGGUUUUGGUAACAAUUGAGAGAGUUGAAGUUCUUUCAUGAUCUUGUGAGAGGUGGUGCAUGGCCGUUCUUAGUUCGUGUAGUGAUAUGUCUGCCUAAUCGCGUCACGAUAACCUAUUGGUCGACAACCCAAUUAUCACAACUGCAGCAUAACUCCCCUUGGGUGGGCGAGGCUCUGUGUAGGAUAGACCUCUGAACAGUACGCAACGAACGCGAUCGUAAUCCCUUGUUGAGUGGCCAUCCUGUAAGCUGCUGGAUUAGGAACCCAGUGGUAUUAUCUCAGCCACAGAUUUUCUGGUUGUAGUGGGCCAGUUUUGAAACUCGGGGAACAUCUGUGACUUUCUUUCUUAACGCAGAGGAAGUUAU
rnacentral:rRNA from 1 species